GAUGAACGCUGGCGGCGUGCCUAAUACAUGCAAGUCGAGCGAACAGACGAGGAGCUUGCUCCUCUGAUGUUAGCGGCGGACGGGUGAGUAACACGUGGAUAACCUACCUAUAAGACUGGGAUAACUUCUGGAAACCGGAGCUAAUACCGGAUAACAUGUUGAACCGCAUGGUUCAACAGUGAAAGACGGUCUUGCUGUCACUUAUAGAUGGAUCCGCGCCGCAUUAGCUAGUUGGUAAGGUAACGGCUUACCAAGGCAACGAUGCGUAGCCGACCUGAGAGGGUGAUCGGCCACACUGGAACUGAGACACGGUCCAGACUCCUACGGGAGGCAGCAGUAGGGAAUCUUCCGCAAUGGGCGAAAGCCUGACGGAGCAACGCCGCGUGAGUGAAGAAGGUCUUCGGAUCGUAAAACUCUGUUAUUAGGGAAGAACAAAUGUGUAAGUAACUAUGCACGUCUUGACGGUACCUAAUCAGAAAGCCACGGCUAACUACGUG
rnacentral:rRNA from 1 species